AAUAAAAGCGGAUAUAAAAGAGUACAAUCAUGCACUCAGUGACACCAAGAAUUUAACGUGAGUCGGCAACUGCCUACAUCUACAGAAAAGAGUUUCACUAUUAAAUAGUGAAACACAAGAAAAUAUUACAGAGGAGGAGGAUUACACUCUACUCAACUCAACUCUCUUCUUUUCUUUCAGAGCUCUCCGAGCUCUCUCACUUUUCUCUUCUCUUUGGGAGUAUUUGAAGUUUUCGCAUGAAGCUUUAAUUUAUAGGCACUUUUCUUCACGUA